rnacentral:rRNA from 1 species
UAAGCGACUAAGCGUACACGGUGGAUGCCCUGGCAGUCAGAGGCGAUGAAGGACGUGCUAAUCUGCGAUAAGCGUCGGUAAGGUGAUAUGAACCGUUAUAACCGGCGAUUUCCGAAUGGGGAAACCCAGUGUGAUUCGUCACACUAUCAUUAACUGAAUCCAUAGGUUAAUGAGGCGAACCGGGGGAACUGAAACAUCUAAGUACCCCGAGGAAAAGAAAUCAACCGAGAUUCCCCCAGUAGCGGCGAGCGAACGGGGAGCAGCCCAGAGCCUGAAUCAGUGUGUGUGUUAGUGGAAGCGUCUGGAAAGGCGCGCGAUACAGGGUGACAGCCCCGUACACAAAAAUACACAUACUGUGAGCUCGAUGAGUAGGGCGGGACACGUGGUAUCCUGUCUGAAUAUGGGGGGACCAUCCUCCAAGGCUAAAUACUCCUGACUGACCGAUAGUGAACCAGUACCGUGAGGGAAAGGCGAAAAGAACCCCGGCGAGGGGAGUGAAAAAGAACCUGAAACCGUGUACGUACAAGCAGUGGGAGCACGCUUAGGCGUGUGACUGCGUACCUUUUGUAUAAUGGGUCAGCGACUUAUAUUCUGUAGCAAGGUUAACCGAAUAGGGGAGCCGAAGGGAAACCGAGUCUUAACUGGGCGUUAAGUUGCAGGGUAUAGACCCGAAACCCGGUGAUCUAGCCAUGGGCAGGUUGAAGGUUGGGUAACACUAACUGGAGGACCGAACCGACUAAUGUUGAAAAAUUAGCGGAUGACUUGUGGCUGGGGGUGAAAGGCCAAUCAAACCGGGAGAUAGCUGGUUCUCCCCGAAAGCUAUUUAGGUAGCGCCUCGUGAAUUCAUCUCCGGGGGUAGAGCACUGUUUCGGCAAGGGGGUCAUCCCGACUUACCAACCCGAUGCAAACUGCGAAUACCGGAGAAUGUUAUCACGGGAGACACACGGCGGGUGCUAACGUCCGUCGUGAAGAGGGAAACAACCCAGACCGCCAGCUAAGGUCCCAAAGUCAUGGUUAAGUGGGAAACGAUGUGGGAAGGCCCAGACAGCCAGGAUGUUGGCUUAGAAGCAGCCAUCAUUUAAAGAAAGCGUAAUAGCUCACUGGUCGAGUCGGCCUGCGCGGAAGAUGUAACGGGGCUAAACCAUGCACCGAAGCUGCGGCAGCGACGCUUAUGCGUUGUUGGGUAGGGGAGCGUUCUGUAAGCCUGCGAAGGUGUGCUGUGAGGCAUGCUGGAGGUAUCAGAAGUGCGAAUGCUGACAUAAGUAACGAUAAAGCGGGUGAAAAGCCCGCUCGCCGGAAGACCAAGGGUUCCUGUCCAACGUUAAUCGGGGCAGGGUGAGUCGACCCCUAAGGCGAGGCCGAAAGGCGUAGUCGAUGGGAAACAGGUUAAUAUUCCUGUACUUGGUGUUACUGCGAAGGGGGGACGGAGAAGGCUAUGUUGGCCGGGCGACGGUUGUCCCGGUUUAAGCGUGUAGGCUGGUUUUCCAGGCAAAUCCGGAAAAUCAAGGCUGAGGCGUGAUGACGAGGCACUACGGUGCUGAAGCAACAAAUGCCCUGCUUCCAGGAAAAGCCUCUAAGCAUCAGGUAACAUCAAAUCGUACCCCAAACCGACACAGGUGGUCAGGUAGAGAAUACCAAGGCGCUUGAGAGAACUCGGGUGAAGGAACUAGGCAAAAUGGUGCCGUAACUUCGGGAGAAGGCACGCUGAUAUGUAGGUGAAGUCCCUCGCGGAUGGAGCUGAAAUCAGUCGAAGAUACCAGCUGGCUGCAACUGUUUAUUAAAAACACAGCACUGUGCAAACACGAAAGUGGACGUAUACGGUGUGACGCCUGCCCGGUGCCGGAAGGUUAAUUGAUGGGGUUAGCGCAAGCGAAGCUCUUGAUCGAAGCCCCGGUAAACGGCGGCCGUAACUAUAACGGUCCUAAGGUAGCGAAAUUCCUUGUCGGGUAAGUUCCGACCUGCACGAAUGGCGUAAUGAUGGCCAGGCUGUCUCCACCCGAGACUCAGUGAAAUUGAACUCGCUGUGAAGAUGCAGUGUACCCGCGGCAAGACGGAAAGACCCCGUGAACCUUUACUAUAGCUUGACACUGAACAUUGAGCCUUGAUGUGUAGGAUAGGUGGGAGGCUUUGAAGUGUGGACGCCAGUCUGCAUGGAGCCGACCUUGAAAUACCACCCUUUAAUGUUUGAUGUUCUAACGUGGACCCGUGAUCCGGGUUGCGGACAGUGUCUGGUGGGUAGUUUGACUGGGGCGGUCUCCUCCUAAAGAGUAACGGAGGAGCACGAAGGUUGGCUAAUCCUGGUCGGACAUCAGGAGGUUAGUGCAAUGGCAUAAGCCAGCUUGACUGCGAGCGUGACGGCGCGAGCAGGUGCGAAAGCAGGUCAUAGUGAUCCGGUGGUUCUGAAUGGAAGGGCCAUCGCUCAACGGAUAAAAGGUACUCCGGGGAUAACAGGCUGAUACCGCCCAAGAGUUCAUAUCGACGGCGGUGUUUGGCACCUCGAUGUCGGCUCAUCACAUCCUGGGGCUGAAGUAGGUCCCAAGGGUAUGGCUGUUCGCCAUUUAAAGUGGUACGCGAGCUGGGUUUAGAACGUCGUGAGACAGUUCGGUCCCUAUCUGCCGUGGGCGCUGGAGAACUGAGGGGGGCUGCUCCUAGUACGAGAGGACCGGAGUGGACGCAUCACUGGUGUUCGGGUUGUCAUGCCAAUGGCACUGCCCGGUAGCUAAAUGCGGAAGAGAUAAGUGCUGAAAGCAUCUAAGCACGAAACUUGCCCCGAGAUGAGUUCUCCCUGACUCCUUGAGAGUCCUGAAGGAACGUUGAAGACGACGACGUUGAUAGGCCGGGUGUGUAAGCGCAGCGAUGCGUUGAGCUAACCGGUACUAAUGAACCGUGAGGCUUAACCU